AACGAGUCAAGCUCACAUCCCUUGGUCACUCUCAUCAAUGGCUACCUUAGAAGAGCUCAGAUCCCCGCUGUCACCGGCACCACCCUUGUUGCGCCGUUAGCCUCCCCUCCACCUCGUCUCCUCGUCGCCGUUACCAGAAUUCUUACCGUCAGCGUCAGCGUCAUUAGCCUCUACUUUGUGUCGUCAUCUCCAUUAUGUGCCAGCGUCGUCAUUUCGCCUCCCUUGUCAUUUCGCCGCUCUCCUGCUAUCUUCCUGUUCUUCUAUUGAAGAUGACCGAAUUGAUUUUGUAACAACCACUAACAAUGCAAUAACAACACUGAAGCUAUUGAGAGAGAAGAAGAACAAGUUUGAAGAGGUUCCGCUAUUUCGGUUUUGCUCCUUCGUCCCUACUGGUGCCUUCGUCUCUGCCAUUCCCUAUUCUGUCUUCUCUGCCAUUGGUCACUAAUUCUGCAAUUUAUUGGAAUACCACUUCAGGCUGCAGAUUAUCUGGAACAGGCUGAGUAUGAUAUUGGUAACCCUAUUGAGGAUCUUAAGACACAAUCCUUGAUAAAAUAGCUACUUUACAACCCUGAACUUCAAGCUGCAUGUCCAGUUCCAUUUGAUGAAGCUAAGCCGUGGAAAGGCCGAGUGAUAAAUAUAUUAGUUUAUUGGUCUCUCUGGACUUCAUUUUCAAUUGUGGGGGUUUGUUUGUAGCACUUGUUUUUGUAACUAACUGGGAUUGGAACAACGUGUCUCUGAUCUUCAGCAGGAUAAGCUGGAUGAGUCAGCACACAAGGUAUUAAUUGAUUAUCAAGCUGCUGCAGUGACUCUCUUAGCGCUAUUAUCAGCUGUACCUGGUGAUAAUAGGAAAAAUGAAGUAGUUGAUGUGCUUUCUAAGAUCUAUAUAUGAUCUUGCUCGCUUAGAGGAUGAAGUUGAUUUCCUCACAGUUCAAUCAGAGCAAGACCGACAGAAAAGGAAUAAUGUCAAAUUCUGGCAUGUUUUUAGAUCAAAGGAAAUCAGAUUGGCUUUCCUUGUUGGAGGAGGACUUCUAGUAAAAAAGUUCACAAAUGUUUCCGAAACAAUUAUGUAUGAUCUAAGGGAAGGAAGUUUAAGAGGGCUAGAGGAAGGAGGAAAAGCAAAGGAAUUAGGAUUUAAGUUGUAUUGUUUCUGUACUUUUCUUCAGUUUUUAGUUUUGGAAUUUGAACUUGA